AAUUCAAGUGAGCUUCACGAGAGAUAUGAGUGUGACUUGGAAAUUGGCUUACUUACUGGACUUAGGAACUCCUCCAUUAGUCAUCUGCAUAGAGGAGAAUAGGCUGAUCUGAAACAACAGACCUGGUGGAGACAAUGUGACUAAACCUGUGGCCUUCACAACGAAGUAUUUGACUAAUUGGUGCAGGAGGUCUCCA